CAGACAUGGUGGAUAGGUCGCCUCGCAUCGUCCUACGAUCAGCACCAGCCAGCAGACCCACAGCGACAAACCUCUAUAAGCCAUUCUGAGGACUGUAACAACUUUUCACAAAAUUUGGCAACUCACGUGUGCUUUCCUAACGCACCUGUUAAUGAACAACUGGAAUCAACACACAGCCUGAGGGAGGUGGUCAGACAAUAAUAACCUUCUCACCAUUGUUCCAAGGUCCAUCAAAACCAAUAAUCACACACACUUCACAUCAUCAGGGAUCGUGUCAAUUCCAGUCAGUUCAAGAAGUACACUGGAAUUGGGUUUGCUUUCUGAAUUGCCCUUAACCCUGCACAUCACACAACCACAAUACACACAGUCCAGUACACAGCCAUAGGCCUGUAGAGGGCAUGUAGGCCUAUGGGGCAGUGGGAAUUACUGGGGGCCAGGGAAGGCUAAAUAAUUUCUAUAAAAUGUCAUUUGUACUGCUACAGUGGUAAAUAUGAAAAUAAAACUAUUCCAAAUGAAAUCGGAAA